rnacentral:rRNA from 1 species
UGGGGAAUAUUGGACAAUGGGCGCAAGCCUGAUCCAGCCAUGCCGCGUGAGUGAUGAAGGCCUUAGGGUUGUAAAGCUCUUUCGCCGGUGAAGAUAAUGACGGUAACCGGAGAAGAAGCCCCGGCUAACUUCGUGCCAGCAGCCGCGGUAAUACGAAGGGGGCUAGCGUUGCUCGGAAUCACUGGGCGUAAAGCGCACGUAGGCGGAUCGUUAAGUCAGGGGUGAAAUCCUGGAGCUCAACUCCAGAACUGCCCUUGAUACUGGCGAUCUCGAGUUCGAGAGAGGUUGGUGGAACUCCGAGUGUAGAGGUGAAAUUCGUAGAUAUUCGGAAGAACACCAGUGGCGAAGGCGGCCAACUGGCUCGAUACUGACGCUGAGGUGCGAAAGCGUGGGGAGC